rnacentral:rRNA from 1 species
CCUACGGGUGGCAGCAGUGGGGAAUAUUGCACAAUGGGGGAAACCCUGAUGCAGCGACGCCGCGUGAGUGAAGAAGUAUUUCGGUAUGUAAAGCUCUAUCAGCAGGGAAGAAGCAAGACGGUACCUGCCUAAGAAGCCCCGGCUAACUACGUGCCAGCAGCCGCGGGAAUACGUAGGGGGCAAGCGUUAUCCGGAUUUACUGGGUGUAAAGGGAGCGUAGACGGUAUGGCAAGUCUGAAGUGAAAGGCGGGGGCUCAACCCCCGGACUGCUCUGGAAACUGUACGGCUGGAGUGCAGGAGAGGUAAGUGGAAUUCCUAGUGUAGCGGUGAAAUGCGUAGAUAUUAGGAGGAACACCAGUGGCGAAGGCGGCUUACUGGACUGUAACUGACGUUGAGGCUCGAAAGCGUGGGGAGCAAACAGGAUUAGAUACCCGAGUAGUC